UGUAGUCAUAUGCUUGUCUCAAAGAUUAAGCCAUGCAUGUCUAAGUAUAAGCAAUUAUACCGCGAAACUGCGAAUGGCUCAUUAUAUAAGUUAUCGUUUAUUUGAUAAUACUUUACUACUUGGAUAACCGUGGUAAUUCUAGAGCUAAUACAUGCUGAAAAUCCCGACUUCGGAAGGGAUGUAUUUAUUAGAUUAAAAACCAAUGCCCCCCGGGGCUCUCUGGUGAAUCAUGAUAACUAGUCGAAUCGACAGGCCUUGUGCCGGCGAUGGCUCAUUCAAAUUUCUUCCCUAUCAACUUUCGAUGUUUGGGUAUUGGCCAAACAUGGUGGCAACGGGUAACGGAGGGUUAGGGCUCGACCCCGGAGAAGGAGCCUGAGAAACGGCUACUACAUCCAAGGAAGGCAGCAGGCGCGCAAAUUACCCAAUCCCGACACGGGGAGGUAGUGACAAUAAAUACUGAUACAGGGCUCUUUUGGGUCUUGUAAUCGGAAUGAGUACAAUUUAAAUCCCUUAACGAGGAACAAUUGGAGGGCAAGUC
rnacentral:rRNA from 1 species